rnacentral:lncRNA from 1 species
UGAAUUCCAAACCACAAGUAUGGUCAAUAACCGAUUUUCAAUUGGUUAAUCUUUAUGUUUAUUCCGCAUGUUUAGGAAACCACUCUCCCAUUUCCCCAUUUUCUGUUUUGUAGGAGUUAUGACUCCAACGUUGUUAUUCUGAUUUCUAUUUAAAUGAAUGAAAACCCAAAAAGAGGCAAUAUCAAUUGCCCAAAAGAAAUCUCUUGUUCUUAUUUUCUAUGCAACUUCAUUACUCUGUUCUAUUCUAAAGCUUUGGCAAAAACCAUCGCUACCAAUUGGUAUCAGAGCAUUGUGCUCAGUCCAAAAUUUUAUUUUCCUAUUCGUUCAUCUCUAAACCAUUCCACCUAAAAAAGAAAAACACAAAAAAAUUUUGUAGUCUUGACGCAUCUGAGUCAAUGGUUAAUACAAAAAAACAGACUUGAUGAGCUAGAAAAAGGGUUGGGGUUAGUUACUGAUGACCUGCACAAAAUGCAGAAUGGCAUCACUGACAAACUCUGUGGCAUGGAAGCAGCUAGCGACGACAAAUUUAAGAAACUAAGGAAUCGAACAAAUCAUUGGAGGAGCCCAUGCGGAAGCUAAUGGCGUUGAUGUCAAACAACUAGGUGGGCACUUCAAACGCUCCAGUGGAACACCAUCCACCUGCAAUUGCUCCACCAGUGGCUCGAAGAGAGGACGGACGCAGAGACGAAGUGGUGAAUACGCUCUGUCCGUUAAUCUUAAUCGCCACAUAUGACUCGACUGCCCAAGCUUCAACAGAGGAGAUCCUACUGAAUGGCUGACCAAAUUCAAACAAUAUUUCGCUUUCCACGAAAUACGGCGCAGAGAGUUAGGUUUGCAUCAUAUCAUCAUACGGCUGAAGCGAAUGCGUGGUGGCAAGCCACAUAUAAGGCAUUGCGGCUCGAUCCAAAUACCGCAACCUCAGAGACGUUUGAGCAGGAGUUAUGGGUGCGUUUUGGACCAUCAGAGGGUGAAAAUUUUCACGAAGCAUUAUCCAAAAUACGACAAACAGAAACACUCAGGGAUUAUCAAAAGGAGUUUGACCGCUUGAUAAACAAGGUGGAGAAUUGGUCUGAAGACGCUCUUGUUGGGACUUAUCUUGGAGGAUUGAAGGACUCCAUUGCAGAUCACGUUCGUAUGUUUUCUCCUACGUCGUUGAGGUCAGUUAUCAAGCUGGCCAGACUUGGCGACGAACAGCUACAAAAACAGCAAAGGGCUUUCACACCACGAUCACUCACCCCUUCGCAAAAUCACCAAAGUUCAAACAACAAUUCACCAGUUCCAAAGAAGCUGAGUUGGAAGAGAUGAGGCACAAGCGAAGCUUGGGGUUAUGCUUCAGCUGCGAUGAGCGAUAUGUACCGGGCUACAAAUGUAAGACAUCACAACUCUUACUGAUGAUGGGGGAAGAUGUUGAGGAAGACGACGGAGAAGAAAUCUUCCACGAUACAGAUGAACCGGAAAUCACACUCCAAUCUCUCACGGGGUGGGAUUCACCUACGACGAUGCAUGUGGAAGUCUUGAUCAAUCAUCGCUAUCUUAUUGCUCUGAUCGAUAGCAGAGCCACGCACAAUUUCAUCAGCGACAAGGCCACCAAUCGUUUGAACCUCAAAUUGUCACCAACAACACCAUUUCACGUCCGUAUUGCCGACGGACAUCCCCUCUGGUGUAGAGGUGCUUAUCAAAACACGACAAUGGCUGCCGGGGGAGUGGCUUUCACCGUCGAUCUCUAUACGCUACCAUUAUCGGGACUUGACAUCG